UACGUAGGUGGCAAGCGUUGUCCGGAAUUACUGGGUGUAAAGGGAGCGUAGGCGGGAAGUUAAGUUGGAUGUGAAAUACCCAGGCUCAACCUGGGGGCUGCAUCCAAAACUGGCUUUCUUGAGUGAAGUAGAGGCAGGCGGAAUUCCUAGUGUAGCGGUGAAAUGCGUAGAUAUUAGGAGGAACACCAGUGGCGAAGGCGGCCUGCUGGGCUUUAACUGACGCUGAGGCUCGAAAGCGUGGGGAGCAAACAGG
rnacentral:rRNA from 1 species